UUGUCCUCCCCAUAGAUUCCCCACCCAUUAGACUGCCCCUUGCUGUCCUGCCCACAGGGUGUAGAUCUGCGUCUGUCUCGCCAGGUGGAGGCGAGCUGCAGGAGGUGGAACGAGCCUCCAUCAGAGACUGUAUCCACACAGCAAUGGGGUGUGGUGUGUUGUGUUGUUGUGUUGUUUGUUGUGUUACCUUGUGUUGUUUCGUGUUGUGUUUGUUGUGUUACAUUGUGUUGUUGUGUUGUGUUGUUGUGUUACAUUGUGUUGUUGUGUUAUUGUGAUGUGUUGUGGUGUUGUUGUGUUGUUGUAGUAUCCUUAUCAGCACUGUGGUGUGUUGUGGUGUUGUGGUGUUGUGUUGUUGUGUGUUGUGUUGUGUUGUUGUGUUGUGUUGUUGUGUUGUUGGUGCUUACAUUGUUUAUUGUUUACAAUUGUGUUGCUUGUUUGUGUUGUUGUUGUUAAUUGUGUUAUUUGUGUUUGCUGUUUUGUGUUAGUGUUAUUGUGUUGUGUGUGUGUUACCGUUGUUUUGUUGUUGUUUGUGACAUUUGUGUUUGUGUUAUUGUGUUGGUGUUGUGUUGCUGUUGUGUUGUUGCGUUACAUUGUGUUAUUGUGUUGUGUUACAUUGUGUUGUGUUGUUGUGUUGUUGUGUUACAUUGUGUUGUUGUGUUGUUGUGUUACAUUGUGUUGUUGUGUUGUGUUACAUUGUGUUGUGGUGUUGUGUUAUUGUGUUGUGUUAUUGUGUUACAUUGUGUUGUUGUGUUGUUGUGUUACAUUGUGUUGUUGUGUUAUUGUGUUACAUUGUGUUGUUGUGUUGUGUUAUUGUGUUGUUGUGUUGUUGUGUUACAUUGUGUUGUGUUGUUGUGUUACAUUGUGUUGUGUUACAUUGUGUUGUGUUGUCUGUGGUGUGUGUUGUUGUAAGUAUCCUAACAGCACUGUUGUUGUUGUGUUGUGUUGUUUUGUGUAGUUGUUUUGGUGUUGUUGUGUUGUGGUUGUUCGUGUUGUGCUGUUGUGUUGUGUUGUUGUGUUGUGUUGUUGUGUUGUGUUGUUGUGUUGUGUUACAUUGUUGUUGUGUUGUUGUGUUGCGUUGUUGUGUUGUUGUGUUGUGUUGUUGUGUUAUAGUGUUGUUGUGUUACAUUGUGUUGUUGUGUUAUUGUGUUGUUGUGUUACAUUGUGUUGUUGUGUUUUGUGUCUGCUGUGUUACAUUGUGUUGUUGUUUGUUAUUGUGUUGCUUGUGUUACAUUCGUGUUGUUGUGUUAUUGUGUUGCUUGUGUUACUUGUGUUGUUUUGUGUUAUGUGUUGUGUUGUUGUGUUAUU
rnacentral:lncRNA from 1 species